UGGACGGAGAACUAAUUGU
rnacentral:miRNA from 1 species